UCAGCAUUUCACUGUGAGGUCUACUACACCUGUUGUAUUCAGCAUUUCACUGUGAGGUCUACUACACAUGUUGUAUUCAGCAUUUCACUGUGAGGUCUACUACACCUGUUGUAUUCAGCAUUUCACUGUGAGGUCUACUACACCUGUUGUAUUCAGCAUUUCACUGCAAGGUCUACUACACCUGUUGUAUUCAGCAUUUCACUGUGAGGUCUACUACACCUGUUGUAUUCAGCAUUUCACUGCAAGGUCUACUACACCUGUUGUAUUCAGCAUUUCACUGCGAGGUCUACUACACCUGUUGUAUUCAGCAUUUCACUGUGAGGUCUACUACACCUGUUGUAUUCAGCAUUUCACUGUGAGGUCUACUACACCUGUUGUAUUCAGCAUUUCACUGUAAGGUCUACUACACCUGUUGUAUUCAGCAUUUCACUGUAAGGUCUACUACACCUGUUGUAUUCAGCAUUUCACUGUGAGGUCUACUACACCUUUUGUAUUCAGCAUUUCACUGUAAGGUCUACUACACCUGUUGUAUUCAGCAUUUCACUGUGAGGUCUACUACACCUUUUGUAUUCAGCAUUUCACUGUAAGGUCUACUACACCUGUUGUAUUCAGCAUUUCACUGUAAGGUCUACUACACCUGUUGUAUUCAGCAUUUCACUGUAAAGUCUACUAGACCUGUUGUAUUCAGCAUUUCACUGUAAGGUCUACUACACCUGUUGUAUUCAGCAUUUCACUGCAAGGUCUACUACACCUGUUGUAUUCAGCAUUUCACUGUGAGGUCUACUACACCUGUUGUAUUCAGCAUUUCACUGCAAGGUCUACUACACCUGUUGUAUUCAGCAUUUCACUGUGAGGUCUACUACACCUGUUGUAUUCAGCAUUUCACUGCAAGGUCUACUACACCUGUUGUAUUCAGCAUUUCACUGUAAGGUCUACUACACCUGUUGUAUUCAGCAUUUCACUGUAAGGUCUACUACACCUGUUGUAUUCAGCAUUUCACUGUAAGGUCUACCACACCUGUUGUAUUCAGCAUUUCACUGUAAGGUCUACUACACCUGUUGUAUUCAGCAUUUCACUGUAAGGUCUACUACACCUGUUGUAUUCAGCAUUUCACUGUGAGGUCUACUACACCUGUUGUAUUCAGCAUUUCACUGUAAGGUCUACUACACCUGUUGUAUUCAGCAUUUCACUGUAAGGUCUACUACACCUGUUGUAUUCAGCAUUUCACUGUGAGGUCUACUACACCUGUUGUAUUCAGCAUUUCACUGUAAGGUCUACUACACCUGUUGUAUUCAGCAUUUCACUGUGAGGUCUACUACACCUGUUGUAUUCAGCAUUUCACUGUGAGGUCUACAACACCUGUUGUAUUCAGCAUUUCACUGUGAGGUCUACUACACCUGUUGUAUUCAGCAUUUCACUGUAAGGUCUACUACACCUGUUGUAUUCAGCAUUUCACUGUGAGGUCUACUACACCUGUUGUAUUCAGCAUUUCACUGUGAGGUCUACUACACCUGUUGUAUUCAGCAUUUCACUGUGAGGUCUACUACACCUGUUGUAUUCAGCAUUUCACUUUAAGGUCUACUACACCUGUUGUAUUCAGCAUUUCACUGUAAGGUCUACUACACCUGUUGUAUUCAGCAUUUCACUGUAAGGUCUACUACACCUGUUGUAUUCAACAUUUCACUGUGAGGUCUACUACACCUGUUGUAUUCAGCAUUUCACUGUGAGGUCUACUACACCUGUUGUAUUCAGCAUUUCACUGUGAGGUCUACUACACCUGUUGUAUUCAGCAUUUCACUGUGAGGUCUACUACACCUGUUGUAUUCAGCAUUUCACUGUGAGGUCUACUACACCUGUUGUAUUCAGCAUUUCACUGUAAGGUCUACUACACCUGUUGUAUUCAGCAUUUCACUGUAAGGUCUACUACACCUGUUGUAUUCAGCAUUUCACUGUAAGGUCUACUACACCUGUUGUAUUCAGCAUUUCACUGUAAGGUCUACUACACCUGUUGUAUUCAGCAUUUCACUGUAAGGUCUACUACACCUGUUGUAUUCAGCAUUUCACUGUGAGGUCUACUACACCUGUUGUAUUCAGCAUUUCACUGUAAGGUCUACUACACCUGUUGUAUUCAGCAUUUCACUGUAAGGUCUACUACACCUGUUGUAUUCAGCAUUUCACUGUAAGGUCUACUACACCUGUUGUAUUCAACAUUUCACUGUAAGGUCUACUACACCUGUUGUAUUCAGCAUUUCACUGUAAGGUCUACUACACCUGUUGUAUUCAACAUUUCACUGUAAGGUCUACUACACCUGUUGU